UCCCUAUAUAAGUAACACCGCGAAAUAGUUCACAAGGUAGAGGCACGGUCCUAAGCAGCCGACUUGUGAAACAGAAGUGAAUUAAAAGGCUCUUGCCCUACACAUAACAGGAUGAAGAUUGCAGCAUUUGUGGUUAUUCUAGCGGCGCAAGUGGCGUGUGUCGUGUCUAACGACAAUGAACAGUGUGGAUUGAAAGUCCAACAGGGUUCUUGCAGAUUUUUCGGACGAACAGUUUAUCCAACGGGAUCUAUUCUGGACAAAACCCAUUGCCUCCUUUAUACGUGUCAAAAUGGCUAUAAUCCGCAGGGCAGACUUACCGGGUGCCCGGUUACUGAGGCCACUACUUCAACAAUGCAGGAGCUGAAAGCAUGUUGUGAGAAAUGCACAUGAGUUUGGAAUGAAAUGGUUUAACAUGCUUCGCUACUUGACAUGUUACAUUCAAGACCUUUUUGUUCGGUUACGGCCGCAAUACGUGUUUGUUUUUUGUGUUUCUUUAAUAAAUAUUCGGCGUUUUCCUA